UACAGAGGGUGCAAGCGUUAAUCGGAAUUACUGGGCGUAAAGCGUGCGUAGACGGUUGCGUAAGUCAGAUGUGAAAGCCCCGGGCUCAACCUGGGAAUUGCAUUUGAGACUGCGUAGCUAGGGUGCGGAAGAGGGAAGCGGAAUUUCCGGUGUAGCGGUGAAAUGCGCAGAUAUCGGGAGGAACACCGGUGGCGAAGGCGGUUCUCUGGGCCUGACCUGACGCUGAGGAGCGAAAGCGUGGGGAGCGAACAGG
rnacentral:rRNA from 1 species